UACGUAGGGGGCAAGCGUUGUCCGGAAUCAUUGGGCGUAAAGAGCGUGUAGGCGGCUCGGUAAGUCCGCUGUGAAAGUCCAGGGCUCAACCCUGGAAUGCCGGUGGAAACUGUCGAGCUAGAGUCCGGAAGAGGCGAGUGGAAUUCCUGGUGUAGCGGUGAAAUGCGCAGAUAUCAGGAGGAACACCGGUGGCGAAGGCGGGUCUCUGGGCCGUAACUGACGCUGAGGAGCGAUAGCAUGGGGAGCGAACAGG
rnacentral:rRNA from 1 species